AGCCAAGUAGCGUGAAGGAUGACUGCCCUAUGGGUUGUAAACUUCUUUUAUAAAGGAAUAAAGUCGGGUAUGGAUACCCGUUUGCAUGUACUUUAUGAAUAAGGAUCGGCUAACUCCGUGCCAGCAGCCGCGGUAAUACGGAGGAUCCGAGCGUUAUCCGGAUUUAUUGGGUUUAAAGGGAGCGUAGAUGGAUGUUUAAGUCAGUUGUGAAAGUUUGCGGCUCAACCGUAAAAUUGCAGUUGAUACUGGAUAUCUUGAGUGCAGUUGAGGCAGGCGGAAUUCGUGGUGUAGCGGUGAAAUGCUUAGAUAUCACGAAGAACUCCGAUUGCGAAGGCAGCCUGCUAAGCUGCAACUGACAUUGAGGCUCGAAAGUGUGGGUAUCAAACAGGAUUAGAUACCCUGGUAGUCCACACGGUAAACGAUGAAUACUCGCUGUUUGCGAUAUACGGCAAGCGGCCAAGCGAAAGCGUUAAGUAUUCCACCUGGGGAGUACGCCGGCAACGGUGAAACUCAAAGGAAUUGACGGGGGCCCGCACAAGCGGAGGAACAUGUGGUUUAAUUCGAUGAUACGCGAGGAACCUUACCCGGGCUUAAAUUGCAGAUGAAUUACGGUGAAAGCCGUAAGCCGCAAGGCAUCUGUGAAGGUGCUGCAUGGUUGUCGUCAGCUCGUGCCGUGAGGUGUCGGCUUAAGUGCCAUAACGAGCGCAACCCUUGUUGUCAGUUACUAACAGGUUCUGCUGAGGACUCUGACAAGACUGCCAUCGUAAGAUGUGAGGAAGGUGGGGAUGACGUCAAAUCAGCACGGCCCUUACGUCCGGGGCUACACACGUGUUACAAUGGGGGGUACAGAGGGCCGCUACCACGCGAGUGGAUGCCAAUCCCAAAAACCUCUCUCAGUUCGGACUGGAGUCUGCAACCCGACUCCACGAAGCUGGAUUCGCUAGUAAUCGCGCAUCAGCCACGGCGCGGUGAAUACGUUCCCGGGCCUUGUACACACCGCCCGUCAAGCCAUGGGAGCCGGGGGUACCUGAAGUGCGUAACCGCGAGGAGCGCCCUAGGGUAAAACUGGUGACUGGGGCUAAGUCGUAACAAGGUAGCCGUACCGGAAGGUGCGGCUG
rnacentral:rRNA from 1 species